AGGUUCCUGGAGUGUGCGGCAGUUGGUCAAGUCCCUCGAGCCGAUAAGCAGUACCCAGGCAGCGUUCAACAGGUGAUGUGAGCAUGUCCGCUUGACGGAAAGCCUGAUUUGCCUGUGAAACGCUUCCACUCUGAACCUUAGGGUUCAGGGCCACGACCGACACCGGCACUCUGGGAAGCCU
rnacentral:other from 1 species